GCUGACGUCAUCUGCAGGCCCUGGAGACGCGACUGCAGUUACCGAGUUUCUAAGGCCUCGUCCCCUGACGGGAAGGCGGCGUUGGGGGGCGGCUGGGUUUACCCUUCGAGAGUCCGUGUGAGAACCGGGACACCUGUCCUGUUGAAAAGGGGGACGCAAAAGCUGAAAAUGCCCGGAAGGAUAUGGCUUCCUUGAACUGCGGGACGUGUAGCUGCAGCUGUGGGGUGGACCAUGGAAACAGGUUUGAAGAGAGAAGCUCUGUUCUUCUUCAUCUCCCGUCAUUGUUCUGAGCCAGUGUUCUGCCUCCUCCCUAGGGAUGAAGUUUGGUAGCAAGGGUCAGAAAAAUUAAAGUUCAAGGUUGGCACAGAUUCCCAGGGAAUGAAGGUGGAAACCACUGUCUACCCUUCUCCAAACUCAAAAA
rnacentral:lncRNA from 1 species